rnacentral:rRNA from 1 species
GGAGGGAAAAGGGGAAAUUCCUUUGUGUAGCGGGUGAAAUGCGUUGAUUAUUAGGAAGGAAUACCCGGGGCGGAGGGGGACUUUUUGGACUUUUACUGACACUGAGGAAGGAAAGCAUGGGGAGCAAACAGGAUUAGAUACCCUGGUAGUCCCAUGCCGUAAACGAUGAGUGCUAGGUGUCGGGGGUCAAACCCUCGGUGCCGGAGCUAACGCAUUAAGCACUCCGCCUGGGGAGUACGUACGCAAGUAUGAAACUCAAAGGAAUUGACGGGGACCCGCACAAGCAGCGGAGCAUGUGGUUUAAUUCGAAGCAACGCGAAGAACCUUACCAGGACUUGACAUGGUAUUGACCGGUCUAGAGAUAGAUCCUUCCCUUCGGGGACAAUACACACAGGUGGUGCAUGGUUGUCGUCAGCUCGUGUCGUGAGAUGUCGGGUUAAGUCCCGUAACGAGCGCAACCCUUGUCUUUAGUUGCUAACAGGUAAUGCUGAGCACUCUAGAGAGACUGCCGAUGAUAAAUCGGAGGAAGGUGGGGAUGACGUCAAAUCAUCAUGCCCUUUAUGUCCUGGGCUACACACGUGCUACAAUGGUCGGUACAACGAGGAGCUACACAGCGAUGUGACGCAAAUCUCUUAAAGCCGAUCCCAGUUCGGAUUGCAGGCUGCAACUCGCCUGCAUGAAGUCGGAGUUGCUAGUAAUCGUAGAUCAGAAUGCUGCGGUGAAUGCGUUCCCGGGUCUUGCACUCACCGCCCGUCA